rnacentral:lncRNA from 1 species
UGAUAAGAAAAAACUCUGAUUUUAACUAUUUUAGCUCUGUUAAUAGAUAAUUGUUUAAUUUCGUUAAUUAUGUUUAAUGGUUGAUUUGUGACAGUAUUAAAAUUGCUUUUUAAACGCAAUUAUUGAAAUUUUUGUUGUUCUAUUUUAAAAGUUAAUAACUAAAAUAGUUUAUUUUAAAAUGGCUCAUUUAAAGUUGUAGUUUUUUCAACUCUAUUAAAACGGUAUAUUUAUGAUUUUAAACAAAACAAUAAAAAAAUGAACCAAGUUUAUUUAAAAAUGUAGAAAAUUGAGAGAGAGAGACAAAAAAAUAAAUAAAAAUAGCCCAACAAAGUUUGAAUUAGUAAAAGCCCAUUGGGCCUACAGUAUUAAACACCGAAACUCAAAC